AAGCCUAAGUCAAGGGGAGAAGGUCAGCACGCCCCUUGAUGAGGUUGGAAGGGGUCCCAGCAGCCUUACAACACACAAAUGGUUAAGGCAUUGGUAUCUACUUAGUGGCAUCUAACCAUGUUUCUGA